UACGAAGGGGGCAAGCGUUGUUCGGAAUUACUGGGCGUAAAGGGCGCGUAGGCGGUGCACUAAGUCAGGCGUGAAAGCCCUGGGCUCAACCCGGGAAUUGCGCUUGAUACUGGUGCGCUCGAAUCCAGGAGAGGUUGGUGGAAUUCCCAGUGUAGAGGUGAAAUUCGUAGAGAUUGGGAAGAACACCGGUGGCGAAGGCGGCCAACUGGACUGGUAUUGACGCUGAUGCGCGAAAGCGUGGGGAGCAAACAGG
rnacentral:rRNA from 1 species